GGGGUACCGGUACCGAGUCAAUGUGUGGGGGUACAGGUUAGUAAUGAGACUAUAUACAGGGGGUACCGGUACCGAGUCAAUGUGUGGGGGUACAGGUUAGUAAUGAGACUAUAUACAGGGGGUACCGGUACCGAGUCAAUGUGCGGGGGUACAGGUUAGUAAUGAGACUAUAUACAGGGGGUACCGGUACAGAGUCAAUGUGCGGGGGUACAGGUUAGUAAUGAGGCUAUAUACAGGGGGUACAGGUUAGUAAUGAGACUAUAUACAGGGGGUACCGGUACCGAGUCAAUGUGUGGGGGUACAGGUUAGUAAUGAGACUAUAUACAGGGGGUACCGGUACCGAGUCAAUGUGUGGGGGUACAGGUUAGUAAUGAGACUAUAUACAGGGGGUACCGGUACCGAGUCAAUGUGCGGGGGUACAGGUUAGUAAUGAGACUAUAUACAGGGGGUACCGGUACCGAGUCAAUGUGCGGGGGUACAGGUUAGUAAUGAGACUGUAUA
ensembl:lncRNA